AGCAGCCGCGGUAAUUCCAGCUCCAAUAGCGUAUAUUAAAGUUGUUGCAGUUAAAAAGCUCGUAGUUGAAUUUCGGGAUCAAUAUGUUGGUCGUGCCUUGGUACGUACUAAUUUAUUGGUUUCUUCCUUCUGACGAACCAUGAUGUCAUUAAUUUGGUGUCUUGGGGAAUCAGGACUGUUACUUUGAAAAAAUUAGAGUGUUUAAAGCAGGCUCACGCUUGAAUACAUUAGCAUGGAAUAAUGAAAUAGGACGUUCGAUCCUAUUUUGUUGGUUUCUAGGAUUGACGUAAUGAUUAAUAGGGAUAGUUGGGGGCAUUAGUAUUCAAUUGUCAGAGGUGAAAUUCUUGGAUUUUAUUGAAGACUAAACUACUGCGAAAGCAUUUGCCAAGGAUGUUUUCAUUAAUCUAAGAACGAAAGUUAGGGGAUCGAAGACGAUCAGAUACCGUCGUAGUCUUAACCAUAAACUAUAGCCGACUAGGGAUCGGAUGAUGUUAAUUUUUAAUGUACUCAUUCGGCGCCU
rnacentral:rRNA from 1 species